rnacentral:misc_RNA from 1 species
GCAAAAUAAAAGAUAUAAAGACUAAAUUGAAGUAAAUGAUAAGUUUGGGGUAGAAUGAAUAAGAGGGAUUAGGACCAUUGGAUAAAAACUUAUUUUAACCACUGGAUAAAAGAAAUUUGGACACUUCCUUCUUAACCCAAUCUACCGCCCCACUCUCUCUCUCACUUCUCAUUUUCUUUCAUUCCUCCAUAGCCAAUUUCUCUCAAAUUUGAAGAAGAAGAAGAAGACAAAGAAGUUAAACCUAGUUUAAUUCCUACCUUAAUCAUCACCAAUCAAGCCUAAGGGAAGAAGAAGAAAGCAAGCUAUUGAAGUUGUAGGUUGUUAUCUUCCUUUAGGGUUUUGGGUAGAAGAAUUGAAGAGAAGAAAAAUCAAGUGAUUGUAUUAGAAGUUAGUGCUUAAACUCAUCCUUGUUGCCAUGUUUAUAUGUGUGAAUUUUUUAUUUUUGUUAACAAGAUGAAUUUAGGGUUUGAGGUGUGUAUGUGAAAUCUGAAUUCUGUUGGGUGAGGCUGCUAGAUAGUCGCAUUCAAAAAUCCAUAACUUGAGUUAGGAGGUCGAAAUGAUGUGAUUCUUGUUACAAAUGAAACUUUGAAGAGUGCCAUAAAACUUUGUAGUUCAGUGUUAGUCUUAAUUCUGAUGAUAGAAUAGAGCUUGAAGUCAAAAUAUUUAAUUGCUCAAGUUUGGAACUAGUCUGGCAGAUUCCAACAACAGGGGAUCCGAUUUUAAAAAUUCAUAACUUG